GCGUACAGUGGGCUUCAUUGGUGUUGCUGAGAGUCCCUGCUGGCUAGACCGGGUUUUGUGUACUAUCGCCUGGUUGCGCGCUGCAUUCGAAGGCUCCCGAGAGACCCUCAAGCCACACAAUGGUGACGUUGUAGGACGGGAGCCGGGGAUGGGACGAAAUCAGGUGUCCAGACUGACAAGCAGCUGGUGGAGCCUGGGAGAUGCUUGGUGCAGCCUGGGGCAUCCCUGAAACUCUCCUGCAUGACUUCAGGAUUCACUGUCAGAAGCUGUGCCAUAAGCUGGAUCCAAAGGCUCCAGGGAAGGGGCUACAGUGGAUCUCAUACAUAGGUACUCGUGGUAGCACAUACUAUGCAUACUCUGUGAAGGGCUGAUCCAUCAUCUCCAGAGACAACGGCAAGAACAUGCUGUAUCCGUAGAUGAGCAGCCUGAAACGGGAGAACACAGCCCUGUAUUACUGUCCAUGACACACAGUGAAGGAACAUUAGUGUGAGCCCAGACAAAACCUCCUGGAAGCAGCGCUUAUGCCCAGCAGAAGUCGGUGUAAGAUGACAAAAUCAUGUGCAGGGCCCAGAAGCAGGAGCUGAGAAGAAAGCAGGGGAGGGAGCUCUUCCUGGGGAUUCUGAGGUUCUCUUCUGUUUUAACAUUUUAGGUCCUGAACCAACCCACAUUGAAGUACCAAAGUUCAAGGAAAAAUUCUCUGUUAAAUGUAAUUGCAUGAGUACAUAAGAAACACUGAUUUUUUUCAUUUCCUGUGUAUGAAUUGUACUUAUGGGUAAACAAAACUUGCACCCAUCUCAAA